rnacentral:tRNA from 1 species
CAGGGAGACAACAAAAUGUUUAAUAUUAUUAUUUUGUCACCUUAGGUCGAUCGGUAUCUCACAUUCUUAAUUUAUUAAGGAUUUCAUUUCCUAAGUUUUUCUAGGUCACACCCAUUAUUUUUCCUGGGCCAUUAGCUCAGGUGGUUAGAGCGCACCCCUGAUAAGGGUGAGGUCCCUGGUUCAAGUCCAGGAUGGCCCAUAUCUCUAUGUUGGGGGUAUAGCUCAGUUGGUAGAGCGCCUGCUUUGCAAGCAGGAUGUCAGCGGUUCGAGUCCGCUUACCUCCACUGAUUACCACCUCUUCCAUAAUCUGUAGAAAGGAAAAUUUUUGAGUUGUGAUCAUAAAUCUGAGCGAAUCUAGCUUCCUAAUGAAACAUUAAGAUGCUGGACUCAUUGAAUUAAUUUCAUUGUUUUCAGAGAACCUUGACAACUGCAUAGAUUAUUUUUAAAGACAAUAAGCAUCUUUAUGAUGCAGAUUUAUUAUUUGUGCGAAUGCAUUAAUAACAAUUCUAUUAAGCUGAUGCUUCAAUUUUGAAGUUAUU